AAAGAACUCCCUAGUUCUGACAUAGCGCGUCAAACUCAAGUCAGCUGCCCCUCUCUCCUCCCUCUCUCUCUCUCUCUCUCUCUCUAGAAACUCCUUUAUUCUCCUCCAGCUUUUCCUUCCCACUUCCCACAGACCUCAAAAAACCCACUCAAAUUCACCUCAAAAUCAACGAAUGGCAUCUGUAAUCUCUCCUCCGUGCCCGUCGAACGCGUUUGUCUACAACGCCUCGUCGUGCGCGUGCGAGCCAGGGUACCUCUACAACGCCAC
rnacentral:lncRNA from 1 species